GGAUCAUUACUACAACAACAACAGCAACAUCAAGCGAAUUGAUGAGGCGCGGGGCAGCCGCCUGCGAGGCGCCGCCCCCGCCCGGUUUCGCCGGCGGGAGCCGGGAGUGGAUAAGGCUGGGUCGGGACUCGGGAAACCGCCCGGGACGGGCAGAUUGGACCUCGCUCGGCGCGAGCGGGGGCUACUCGCGUCGUGAUGAAAACCCGCCCCGGGAGGCCCGCGGCGCCCACGGUCGGGAACGUCGGAGGAUCGCCUCGCCGCGAGGAGCCAACAUGGCGGCCGCCUCUGCCACCCCUCCAGCGGGGAGAUUGGAGCUCGCGCGUUGCUUGAAGACCCGACUGGUGACCACCGGUUCCCCCGAAACACUCUCGGCGACCGCCAACCGGCGAGUUCCGAACCAAACUCUCUGCGUACAGAUCCCCGUUGCUUCCCCGGGCGCCGCCCCGGGGGAGGUCCCAGCGCGAACGAUGCCGCCCAACCCACCAGCGUGUCCUCGGUCUGACGGCCAUCGCGCCAGGGAAGGAGGGAGAGAGCGAGGAAUUCGAAGAACGAAAAACUUUCAACAACGGAUCUCUUGGUUCCCGCAUCGAUGAAGAACGCAGCGAAAUGCGAUAAGUAAUGUGAAUUGCAGAAUUCAGUGAAUCAUCGAAUCUUUGAACGCACAUUGCGCCCCCUGGCACUCUGGGGGGCAUGCCUGUUCGAGCGUCUCCAGUGAGAGCUCUCGCGCCGGUGAAGGGCGCGGUCGUGGCGGCGGUGGCGUGCCCCGAGCGGGCUGCCACCGGGCUGGAAUUCAUGGGCGGGACGCCUGCAGCGUGGCCGAGCGUGAUAUGACGCAUUGGCGCCGGCUAGCGGCGAGGCUCCCGGCCCUGGCCCGUGCGUCGGGCGGGGGAGCGCGUGUUGACGGAACUCC
rnacentral:rRNA from 1 species